CCUCUCUCAGGAUUACGCCUGGAGAGUUUCCGGUAUUCUACCAGUCUCAGCUACGGGAGGGAGAGUCAAGCAGAGGCAUUCCCAUUCCAUUCCUAGCUUGGGCAGUGGCUAGCGAGUGGAAGGCAAUCUGCUACAAGU
rnacentral:snoRNA from 1 species